rnacentral:rRNA from 1 species
UACGGAGGGUGCAAGCGUUAUCCGGAUUCACUGGGUUUAAAGGGUGCGUAGGUGGGAAUGUAAGUCAGUGGUGAAAUCUCCGUGCUUAACAUGGAAACUGCCAUUGAUACUAUGUUUCUUGAAUUUUUCUGGAGGUCAGCGGAAUAUGUCAUGUAGCGGUGAAAUGCUUAGAUAUGACAUAGAACACCAAUUGCGAAGGCAGCUGGCUACAGGGAUAUUGACACUGAGGCACGAAAGCGUGGGGAUCAAACAGG